UAAUACGGAGGGUGCAAGCGUUAUUCGGAUUUACUGGGCGUAAAGCGUACGUAGGCGGCGUGGUAAGUCAGGUGUGAAAUCCCACAGCUCAACUGUGGAACUGCACUUGAAACUGCUAUGCUUGAGUACUGGAGGGGGUGGCGGAAUUCUUGGUGUAGGAGUGAAAUCCGUAGAUAUCAAGAGGAACACCAGUGGCGAAGGCGGCCACCUGGACAGUAACUGACGCUGAGGUACGAAAGCGUGGGGAGCAAACAGGAUUAGAUACCCUGGUAGUCCACGCUGUAAACGAUGGAUACUAGAUGUCGGGGCCUUGAGCUUCGGUGUCAAAGCUAACGCAUUAAGUAUCCCGCCUGGGGAGUACGGUCGCAAGGCUG
rnacentral:rRNA from 1 species